rnacentral:rRNA from 1 species
AGUGAACGCUGGCGGUAGGCCUAACACAUGCAAGUCGAACGGCAGCACAGUAAGAGCUUGCUCUUACGGGUGGCGAGUGGCGGACGGGUGAGGAAUACAUCGGAAUCUACUUUUUCGUGGGGGAUAACGUAGGGAAACUUACGCUAAUACCGCAUACGACCUACGGGUGAAAGCAGGGGAUCUUCGGACCUUGCGCGAUUGAAUGAGCCGAUGUCGGAUUAGCUAGUUGGCGGGGUAAAGGCCCACCAAGGCGACGAUCCGUAGCUGGUCUGAGAGGAUGAUCACCCACACUGGAACUGAGACACGGUCCAGACUCCUACGGGAGGCAGCAGUGGGGAAUAUUGGACAAUGGGCGCAAGCCUUAUCCAGCCAUACCGCGUGGGUGAAGAAGGCCUUCGGGUUGUAAAGCCCUUUUGUUGGGAAAGAAAAGCAGCAGGUUAAUACCCCGCUGUUCUGACGGUACCCAAAGAAUAAGCACCGGCUAACUUCGUG